AAUAAAUAUAUAUAUAUAUAUAUAUAUAGCUUAUAAAUUAUGUUUGUGUACACACUCAAACAUAUAUAUCAUUUAUAAGCUAUAUAACGUUAUACAUACAUAUGCAUAUUAUACAUAUGUAUGUAUAUAUAGAUUAUAACGUUAAAUAUAAAUGCUGUGUGUGUGUGUACACAGACACACACAUGUAGCCUAUAUAAUUUUUAUUUAAAUAAAUUGGAUACAUUCCCAUUGUAUUACAGUAAGUACAGUUUGCACAAACACUUGUUGCAUUUCUUUUAUUCACAGGGUUAGAAAUAGUAGAAAGUCAACAACUAGAGGACAGACUACUAGGGAAGUUUUUAGUUUGGCAGCCGGAGAGGUGGAGAGAGGCAGGUCCUUGCGGAGCGUGGCAGGUAGCUAUGGCAUCUGCCAUGUUACUCUACACCGAUUCAUAACACGUAAACACAGACUGCAGGAGCAGGGAGUAAGAUCACCACUACCUCCAGUGGGUUACUCUUCACACAAAAAGGUGUUUACUUCAGAGCAGGAGGAGCAGCUUGCUGCGUAUUUGAGUCGUGCGGCAGCAAUGUGUUAUGGGCUGAGCCCCAAGGAGGUUCGAAAACUUGCAUUCGAAUGCGCAGUCAAGUUCCACUGCAAAUUCCCAGAAUCCUGGUCAAAAACCCAAAUGGCAGGCAAAGACUGGUUUACAUCCUUCCUCAAAAGGAACAGGUCUCUUUCAUUACGAAAACCACAAGCCACCAGUAUGGCGAGAGCAACUAGUUUCAAUUCUCACAAUGUAGGAAUUUUUUUUAACAAUUUAGACACUGUAUACAAAACUCACCAUUUUAGGCCAAAUGACAUAUGGAAUAUGGAUGAGACUGGUGUGACCACAGUUCACACCCCAGAAAAAAUAAUUGCGACAAAAGGAGUGCGCCAGAUCGGAGCAAUGACAUCUGGAGAAAGGGGUACGCUUGUGACUGUGGCAGUGGCCAUUAAUGCCCUGGGGAAUUCGGUGCCUCCGUUUUUUGUUUUUCCCCGUAAACGAUUUCACUCUCACUUCAUCCAUGAAGGGCCGCCUGCAUCAGCCGGAGCAGCAAAUGGGUCUGGUUGGAUGCAAGCAGAGGAAUUUUUGCAGUUCCUUCACCACUUUGCCAACCAUACAAAACCCUCGCUAGAAUUGAAGGUACUUCUCUUGCUGGACAAUCACGUGUCCCACCUGUCUGUGCCAGCCAUGGAUUUCUGUAGAGAAAGAGGCAUCGUUUUACUUACUUUCCCACCACAUUGCACUCAUAAGCUCUGUCCCCUGGACAGAACAGUUUUUCGAUCUUUCAAAGGGAGGGUCAACACGCACCUGGACGCCUGGAUGAAAGCUCACCCUGGCAAGAACGCCACAAUAUACGACCUCCCUGGGAUUGUUGCAAAAGCGUUGCCACAGGCAACAACACCUGAGAACAUCAUGUCGGGUUUCAGGUGCACUGGUAUCUGGCCCUACAGCCCUGAUGUGUUUGGAGAAAAUGACUUCGCUCCUGCAUAUGCAACCGACCGACCAGAGCCAACUACCUUGACAUCCUCUGCAGAUUCCUCCACACUCCACCAGGGCUCCACCACACUCCACCAGGGCUCCUCCACACUCCACCAGGGCUCCUCCACACUCCACCAGGGCUCCACCACACUCCACCAGUUUAUUGUGUGAAAUCUGACUCUUCCAGCAACCGUUACAACUAACCCUCUGUCUGUUACAACUAACCCCGCCCACAGGGUAAAUUGUAACAUUUGACUCUAUCCGCUUUGGGCGAUACAGCACAGGAAUGGUAGGUCCGACGAACAUACAAACAGUGCUCAUUUGUAAGAGAGGCUUGCAUGUUGUUGGUUUAAAAAUACGGUUUGUCUAACCCCAUUACUUUGUUAAUUAUUUGGCCAAAUCCAAAAAGUGUUACGUUGUGCCCCGCGCUCCCCUACGCCUCCUCAGCACGAGCUGACCGAUAAAUCUAACACACCAGGAGAGGCGGGACUUAAGGCAGAACAGCCAAUCAUCAGCCGGUCACACUCAAAGCCGGUGUCAUGUUUGAGAGGGAGGGGGAGAGGAGGCAGCCGCAGCGAGCGCAGACACAGAGCGGCCAGAGAAACAGAGGAGUGACUGUAGUUAGGUGUUUGUGCAAAACUGCGGAAAAACUGCAGAAAAAGUGCGGGUGUUGAACCCUCUCACCGGGAAAAGUGUGGGUGUUAAAACACCCACAUCCCCCACGGGUGCGACGCCCCUGCACAGAGGUGGCAUGAGUGCAAUUAAAUUCAUACAUUCAUGUGGAGAUUAAUGUUUUAAAUAUUAAAUUAUUAAUAUUAA
ensembl:lncRNA